GUUUUGUUUUUUAAAACUACAAAAACAUUAAAUUUAAAGACAUUGAAAUGAAUUUCAAAGAGAGUUUAUUUACAACUAAAUUGACACCAUUUUGGAUGGCUUUUUCUUUGAUUUUACAAGUGUUAACACUUGAGAAAAAUUGUUCUUCAUGUGAUGAAUUUACACCUUUAUGUAUAAGUAAUUUUUCAAGAGUUUUGUACAAAUUUUCAAAUGAACAAAAAUAUCUUUGUGAAUCAAAACAGUUAUGCUUUCAUGAAAACUCUACUGAUUCUGUAACCUUGCAACAUAAACCCUUGUAUAUUCUCAAAAAUCAAAGUCUGACAUUUAGUGUGGAUUUGUUUUUAAAUAACACUUUACAACUUUAUAUAUUUAAUGAGAGUUUUUAUUCUGAUUGGAAUCAAUGUAACACAAAAAAUAUGUCUCAAAUCCUUUUUUUUUCAAAUGACCAUUAUCUGCAAAUGCCUAUUCUUAAUAUUGGAAAACAUUAUAUUUUAUUUAAUACAAGUAAAGAAGUAUGUUUAAAUGGUCUAAGAAUACAAGUAAAUGUAAUUGAUCAUAACUGUUUUAACAGUAGUAAUAAUCCAACUAUGUUGUACAUGUGUUCUUCUAAUGGAAAAUGCACAUACAAUGAAUCACUAAAUAUCUACAUGUGCAAGUGUUGCCCAGGUUUUCUUGGACAAUAUUGUGAGAAUAAACAGGAUGUUCAAAACUUAUAUCAGAAUGUUUUUGACUUGAAAGAAAGUGAAGUUGAUGACUUUUUUAAAAAAAGGAUAGAAUGUAUUACCUGCUUUAAAAUAGACAACAAGAUUGCAUCAGAUGUUGACUCUGAAUAUGACUGCACGUUCGAUAAAAGAUUAAAAGAUAACAACAUUGAAGAUAUUAAAGGUCUCCUAGAUGAAGUUGCAAUAAAGUAUAACCUUUUUUGUAAAGGGAAUAGUUCAUUUUCAGUUGUCAUCUUAAAUGAAAGCAUAACUUUUGAUCAAUUUAACAGAAGCAAUAUAAAUUUGAACAGUUCAUGCUCUAAUUGCCAAUGUUAUCAAAAGUAUCUAAAAAAACUGUUGGAAUGCAAAACAGUUGAUAGGCAUAUUAGUUUUGUUACAAGCAAAACAUCGUUACUUGAACCUGCUCUUGUUAAUAGCUCUCAUUCAUUAAAUCUAUUAUCAUCAAGUGCUCUUUUUGGUGUAACAUCUGAAAACAUCUUUCCUAAAAUAGUUACUUGGUCUACUGUUGAAGCGCUUCACUCAACAGCAUUAUUAUCAUCAUUAACUUUGUAUAGGUCACAAGUAAAUUUAAUGUCUACUCCAUCAUUGACUGCAGGACACUUGUAUCAAUCAUGGCCUUCAGUUUUUGCUUCAAAAAAAUUUCAUUUCAGUUCUUCUGUGACAUUAAAUCUCUCGUUUGAAACUAUUAAUCCUUCUAGUAGCUUAAAGCAAUCUACAAUCUACAGAGCGUUGAUUUUUGACAGCUUUGAAAAUUCUAUUACAGAUGCUGAACAACCAGAUUUUGACAGUUUAGGUAGGGUAACCAUUCAAGCAAAUGCAAGUUUUUCAAGUAAAUCUUCCUUCUAUAAUGGUUCUCAAAGUCAUUCUUGUUGCAUGAGUAGUAUUGUAGAUCAAACUACUAAUAUUUUAAAAGAUUUAAAACAAGCUUCUUUAUUUAUUUCAGAGUCAAUAAAACAAUCACUUACAACUACAAAUUCGAUUAGUUUAUCACAAGAAGAGAUUCCUGAUUUACAGUUAUGUUUGUAUCCUUGUUUUAAGAAUGCAUGUUUAAAUAAUGGAACAUGUUUUGUAGAUGCAAGUAAUAUUUUGGGAUUUAGAUGUGCGUGCAUAGACAAGUUCACUGGUAGAUUUUGUGACCAAUUAAAAGACUAUUGUCUAAAUGAUCCAUGUAAUGGAGGUUUCUGCAUAUCAAUAAAUGGUGGCUUCAAAUGUUUAUGCCAGUUUGGUAAAACCGGGGUACAUUGCUUACAAGAUUCUUUAGUUGGCAUACCACUAUUUUCUGUAUAUCAAAACUACUCAUCUUUUAUUAAAUACUCGUGGAAUAGCACUGGGGAUUUAGUUCUGCAAAGACUUGAAAUACAGCUUCAGUUCAAGAGAGAUUCAGAUAAAAAGACGGGAGAGUUGCUUAUUUUUUCUGAAAAAAAAGGUGGUAUCUUCUUUGCUGUUGGUAUUCAUGACAACUUUAUUACUGUUAUCUUCAAUUUUGGAAACGGUGUCAGAAUUGUAAAGAGUCAUGAUGAGCUAUCUGUAUCACGAGUAUGGCACUAUUUGGUCACUGGAUAUUCAGGGCAACAGGUUUAUAUUUUCAUUGACAAUCAGCCAAAGGUUUUAUAUACAUGUUAUGAAAAGUUAUCUUAUCUUGAUUUUACCAGUGCAUUGUUUAUUGGUGGAAUACCAUUUAAUGCUAUUCUUCCAAAAUCUGUGCUUUUAUUUUUCUCCUCUGGGUUUAUAGGAGCACUUUAUAAACUUAGUCUUCGCACUGAUAAUCCCUAUUUUACACCUAUACUAUUUAAAAAACUUCAAAAUGAUUUGACAGAAACUACAAAUAUUCAAUUAGAGAAUAGCUUGGGCAUUGUUAUGGAGGCUCAAAGUUGUCAAAAUCAGUUGUGUAACAACAAUGGAUCAUGUCAUGAACAAGAAAAUGUAUUUUACUGUAUUUGUCUUCAUCCAAACAAAGGAAUACUCUGUCAAGACACUGUACUUCCAUGUGUUGAAUAUAAUCCUUGUCAUCCAAGUUCAGCUUGUUAUUCGGAUAAUAAUUUUGACAUAAAUUGUGAUUGUGCUUUUGGCAAAUCAGGAUUGUUUUGCCAAACUAAUCUUGUUAUUUCAAUACCAUUUUUUAAUGAUAAGUCAUAUUUGCUUUUGCCUGGUUUAAAUAUUGCACUGUACACCUCAAUGGAAAUGUAUUUUAGACCUGAUAAGAUAAAUGGUCUCUUAUUUUAUGUAGCAAAUAAUAUGAAUGUGUCAAGUUCUGGAGAUUUUCUUGCAAUAGGAUUGUAUAGUGGAUAUGUUCUUGUUCGCUUCAACCUUGGCAGAAAUACUGUCACUUUACUAAGUCGCACAUGCGUGACUCCUAACAACAUCAAUAGAUUGCAUUUCCAGAGAAUUAACAAUCAGGCUGUCAUGAAACUUAAUGAUGAUAUAUAUGUUGGAGUGCGAUCAUCUCCAUUAGCUGUUUCUCUAGAUGUUAAUAGUAAUUUUUAUAUUGGAGGAGUGCCUGACUUUUCAGUCAUUAAUACUGAUAUCUCAAGUGAAAUCAAAUCAAAUUUUGUUGGUUGUAUUACUCAUUUCAAAGUAAAUGAUAAAUUAUAUAUGUUAAAUUCAUCAAAUACAGAUAUUGUUGGAAGAAAUAUUGGUGAAUACAAUUCAUGUAUAAAUAACAAUUGUCUGAAUAAUGCAUCCUGUAGCGCUGAAGCUGAUUACAGUUACAGAAUUGAAAACAAUGACAGUGGCAUCUUUUGAUGGAAGCGGCUAUUGGAUGGGUCAAAUUGAAACUGUGAGAGCAUCAUUACAUAACAGUUUUGCACUAUCAUUCCGUAGUACUAAUGAUGGUCUUUUAUUUUGGUACGGGCGUCUUCAGGAUGAUUAUGGAGAUAUGAUUUCAGUGGGGUUGUAUAAUGGCACUAUUAAUGUCAGGUACCUGAUAGAUGGUAAGGAAG
rnacentral:misc_RNA from 1 species